rnacentral:tRNA from 1 species
GUGCAAUAGGCGGCGUGGUGUAAUGGAUAACAUCAGUCCGGUCUACUGAAGAUGCUGGUUCGCUUCCAGCCGCCGAUUA